rnacentral:rRNA from 1 species
AGAGUUUGAUCCUGGCUCAGAUUGAACGCUGGCGGCAUGCCUUACACAUGCAAGUCGAACGGCAGCAUGAUCUAGCUUGCUAGAUUGAUGGCGAGUGGCGAACGGGUGAGUAAUACAUCGGAACGUGCCCUGUAGUGGGGGAUAACUAGUCGAAAGAUUAGCUAAUACCGCAUACGACCUGAGGGUGAAAGUGGGGGACCGCAAGGCCUCAUGCUAUAGGAGCGGCCGAUGUCUGAUUAGCUAGUUGGUGGGGUAAAGGCCCACCAAGGCGACGAUCAGUAGCUGGUCUGAGAGGACGAUCAGCCACACUGGGACUGAGACACGGCCCAGACUCCUACGGGAGGCAGCAGUGGGGAAUUUUGGACAAUGGGCGAAAGCCUGAUCCAGCAAUGCCGCGUGUGUGAAGAAGGCCUUCGGGUUGUAAAGCACUUUUGUCCGGAAAGAAAUGGCUCUGGUUAAUACCUGGGGUCGAUGACGGUACCGGAAGAAUAAGGACCGGCUAACUACGUGCCAGCAGCCGCGGUAAUACGUAGGGUCCAAGCGUUAAUCGGAAUUACUGGGCGUAAAGCGUGCGCAGGCGGUUGUGCAAGACCGAUGUGAAAUCCCCGAGCUUAACUUGGGAAUUGCAUUGGUGACUGCACGGCUAGAGUGUGUCAGAGGGGGGUAGAAUUCCACGUGUAGCAGUGAAAUGCGUAGAGAUGUGGAGGAAUACCGAUGGCGAAGGCAGCCCCCUGGGAUAACACUGACGCUCAUGCACGAAAGCGUGGGGAGCAAACAGGAUUAGAUACCCUGGUAGUCCACGCCCUAAACGAUGUCAACUAGUUGUUGGGGAUUCAUUUCCUUAGUAACGUAGCUAACGCGUGAAGUUGACCGCCUGGGGAGUACGGUCGCAAGAUUAAAACUCAAAGGAAUUGACGGGGACCC